rnacentral:lncRNA from 1 species
ACUUUAUAUACGUAUAUUUAUCAGUUAUAUGUAAAAAUAAUUGUAUUUUUCAUUUCCUCUAUACCAUCCUAGGAGAGAAAGAUGAAGAUAUAGUGGAGAUUACAGUAAAGAAGCAUAGGUAAUUAAGUUGUAAGGAAAAAUAUACCUCACUCUACUGAUGUAAAGUUGGAAUAUUUUGAGCAACACUGUUCUUCUGGAAAGUUUUGGAUUUGAAUUUUGGUUUUGGUUUGUUAUUAUUGUUGUUUCCUUGUGUAUUUUUUUUUAUUUUGUUUUGCCUACUAACUUGAAAUUUAAUUUUUAAUCCCUGCAUGGAUUUAGACACCUCUGCAAAGCCUUACAGUGCACCUGCUGAGAUGAAGCUGGCACCAAGCCACACAUACUGACCUGACCCUUUCCCAUCCACAUUCAGUCAGCCCACUGGACAGAGCUGGCUGUGCAGCUGCAGAAGUCCUUUCCCAGCCAGCAUGCCCACAUUGUGGCCUUUGCCACAGAACCAAAGUCUCCGUGGAAAGAACAAUCAUCCUGUUCAUGCUUUUGGAGAUGCUUCUUAAAUAUCUGUCAAAACCAAAUUGCUCAGCAUGAACAUGUGCAUUCUGACUCUAUUUAUAUGAAAGCACAGCAAAGUGCGGAUGACACACCUCCACACUGAGGCCCAGCGCAGGAAGGAGUCAUGCUUUUCAGCCAGAUUCUUUCUAGGUCACCAGUGCUUUGGAUGAAGAUGUCAGGAUCCUGCAUCUGUUCUUGUAUCUUGCCAGAUGUCUCAAGGUGAGAUAAGAGGAUUCAUGCAGCGAAGGAAAAAAAUUUAUCUGUACUGUGUUUUUUUGUGAGCCAGCUAAAAAUAAAUAAAUAAAUCAGGCCUCCCUUGGCAAACUGAAUGCUAUGAAGAGGUUUCACUUGGCUUGGAUUUACCUAUAUUUAGUAAAGAAUUUAACAAUAUACUAGAAAGAAUAUCCUUUGUUUAACUUCUUUUAAACCUUUUCCCUUGCUGAUCUGAAAAUACAAGUGUGCUGCAAAUAUUGCCAAAAUUAUGAUUGUCUUAAAAAUCUUUUGAGAAGAACUGACAGUGACAGCUAAUAUCCCCAGUAAAAUGUUGUGGUUUGGCUUUGAUUUGUGGUUAGCUGUGGCUAGAGUGGCAGCUGGAGGUACAAUUUGCAGAAGUACUUCCAAAAUUAUGAUUCAUUUCCAGUUGUAGUUGGACAGAUUGAACUGGGUUCAGACUUGGUUUCAUUCUUUCUUCUGAAAUACCUGUAUCUUGUACUGUUUCUGCAUUUCAAAGGUUCUCUUGUUCUCUCCACCGUCAUAGUUAUGCAGUUGUAAUUCUUUCAUAAAGAAUGGCUCUAGAAGGCCAAUAAAUAAAUAAUUCAUGGCAUACCCCCUAAAUGUCUGCUUUCUGGAUAGUUUGAAGGCUGUAUGUUAGCAGGAGGCUUGGGUUACACUGGGACAUUUUUUAACUGACAGUCACACUUUUAAAAUGAAUAAUUGUGUUUGAUCAUAAUAGCAGCCAGUCUGCAAGGACUCAUAAAUUCCACUGAGUUACCAGAGAUAUAGCUUAGUCUCCUUGGAAUCCAUAAUGCAUUUUUAAUCGGACUAUUAUGGCUCCAUGG